rnacentral:rRNA from 1 species
UUACCAGGUCAAGACAUGGGCGUGAUUGACAGGAUAAUGACUUUUCUCGAUUCCAUGGAUGGUGGUGCAUGGUCGCACUUAGUUGGUGCAGUGAUUUGUCAGGUUUAUUCCGGUAACGAACGAGACCUCGGCCUUGUAAAUAGAUAUGAUGCUUACAGGGACAUUGGCGGCUACGCCAAGGAAGCUCGAGGCAAUUGCAGAUCUGGAAUGCCCUUAGAUGUCCUGGGUCGCACGCGUGAUACAAUGACGCCACGAACGAGCUUGCGUGAUGAAAGUUACGCAUAAUCAGCAGUCGGCGUCUUAAGGGAUAGUCUCUUGUAACUGUGGGACUCCAACUAGGAAUGUCUCGUAAGCCCAAGUCAACAUCUUGUGUUGAUUACGUCCCUGCUAUUUGUACACACCGACCGUCGCUCCUACCGAUCGAGUGUUUAGGUGAAUCUGAUGGACGUAAGGAAGUCAAAUAAACUGAGCACUAGAGAAGAGAAGUCGAGAUGCCGAUU